CCGCGGUAAUUCCAGCUCCAAUAGCGUAUAUUAAAGUUGUUGCAGUUAAAAAGCUCGUAGUUGAAUUUCUGAGCUCGCCGAGCGGCGGUCUUUGGCCGACCACUCCGCAAGUUCAUCCUCGCCCCUCGGGGCGUCAUUUACUGUGAAAAAAUUAGAGUGUUUAAAGCAGGCUUUAGGCUUGAAUACAUUAGCAUGGAAUAAUGAGAUAGGACCAAGUCGUAUUUUGUUGGUUGCGCGAUUCGGUAAUGAUUAAUAGGGACAGUUGGGGGUAUUCAUAUUUAAUUGUCAGAGGUGAAAUUCUUAGAUUUAUUAAAGAUGAACUACUGCGAAAGCAUUUACCAAGGAUGUCUUCAUUAAUCAAGAACGAAAGUCAGGGGAUCGAAGAGGAUUAGAUACCCUCGUAGUCUUGACCAUAAACUAUGCCGACUCAGGAUUGGCACCCCUUUUUUAACAGGGUGUCAGCACUGUAUGAAAAAUCAAAGUCUUUGGGUUCCGGGGGGAGUAUGGUCGCAAGGCUGAAACUUAGAGGAAUUGACGGAAGGGCACCACCAGGAGUGGAGCCUGCGGCUUAAUUUGACUCAACACGGGGAAACUUACCAGGUCCAGACAUGGUGAGGAUUGACAGAUUGAAAGGUCUUUCUUGAUUCUAUGGGCGG
rnacentral:rRNA from 1 species